GUAAGGCCAUCAUUGAACGAUAUAGAGAAGGAGAUAUUGUGGUUCUGAAUCCGAAUGCUUUGAGGGAAAUUGGCUUCACCCUAACUGGAGCAUUACCAGGCUCCAUUGCUGCACUGCUGAUAGUGAUGCCAGGAAUGGGAUGGUUUUCGGCAUUCCUUGCAUUAUUUGCGAUGGCUUGGCAAUGGUUCAUCGCUUUAUUUUGGAGCCUCCUAGGACCUAAACUGGCGUGUUACCUGACAGGUGUCUGCAAUAUUACUGUGGUAUAUCGAACUGAUAUGACAGUUUACUCUCCUCCCUAAGAUGUAGACGAAAUAAAUUUUGUCUUCUGAAAAAUGUUUUCACACCUUCCUCAGUGAACCCUGUUAAGUACUUCUAAGUUAAAUGAAAUGUUAAAUUUUCUUCUCAAAUGCUAA